ACGAACGCUGGCGGCAGGCCUAACCCAUGCAAGUCGAGCGAGGACUUCGGUCCUAGCGGCGGACGGGUGAGUAACGCGUGGGAACGUGCCCUUUGCUUCGGAAUAGCCCUGGGAAACUGGGAGUAAUACCGGAUGAGCCCUUUGGGGGAAAGAUUUAUCGGCGAAGGAUCGGCCCGCGUUGGAUUAGGUAGUUGGUGGGGUAAUGGCCUACCAAGCCGACGAUCCAUAGCUGGUUUGAGAGGAUGAUCAGCCACACUGGGACUGAGACACGGCCCAGACUCCUACGGGAGGCAGCAGUGGGGAAUCUUAGACAAUGGGGGAAACCCUGAUCUAGCCAUGCCGCGUGAGCGAUGAAGGCCUUAGGGUUGUAAAGCUCUUUCAGCUGGGAAGAUAAUGACGGUACCAGCAGAAGAAGCCCCGGCUAACUCCGUG
rnacentral:rRNA from 1 species